GUCGGUGCGCUUUCAAGCAUCUGAUUCGCCAUUAGACGCCCGAAUCCAUGAUUCUGGAGUAGCUCGUUUUGACAAAGUACUUCACAAGUUCUAAUAUUUCACAUUGUUUUUGAAAGAAAAAACAAAGUAAAAUCUGUUGUAGACAGGGACGUCGCUGGGAUUAUUUUAGGGGAGCUAUCCCUCUAAAAUGUUUUACGGUCAAUAAGGAUUGUGUUCCGAGAUGACCUCAUCAUGUCACGGAUCUAAGUGCUGGAAUUCCAACAUGGCGUUUCAGGCAGAUUACAGAAGAGUGGAUUCUGUGGUAAAAGUUAUUCCCUUUGGCAUGUAUUUUGGGUCUUAAGAUUUGAAAGACCGUCACAUAAAUUAAAACUGUAUAACGCACUGAAGGAAAGGGAAAACUGGAAAAGAAUAACAGGAUCUCUUUAAACUGUGGAUUAUUUAACCUGGAAUAAUGGUAAAUAAAUGCCAUCAUACAUACAUCCCUAACAGCCUAAAUGUAAAAAAAGUGGAGAAUAUUCAGACCGUAAUUGCCGAUUUAAAAAAAAAAAAGUUCUGAAGUUUUAAAAACUCAUGCAGCGUGUUCUGGUGAUAGCUUGACCAGGCUUUGACAAAAGCUGGAAAGCGGAAAUUAAAACGGGGAAAAAAAUAAGCUCUUCACUGGAUCCCACUGGGAAGUUUGCAAAAAAAAAAGUCAAGCGACAUACUAAGCAAAACAAAGUUUUUAUUUUAAAGUUGCAGGAAACUUCUUUUCAGCGGUUUGCACAAAGGGAAGUAAAAUAAAUCUCCUCGCCUGCUCCCUCUCACCGCUCUGCCAGUGGGUAAAACCAAACAAAGGUCGGGGAACGGACUCUCCGCAGCGAACCCGAGUCCGAAAAACUGGGCACCCUUUUCAAUCCGGCCCUCGCUGUUCGCCUCUCAUGCUGCGCUACCACCUGCUUCCACCGGACAUCUUUUCUUUCCUGCCCCUGGGCGGCUGCUGAGGUGUUAAGAGAAGAAAAAACAGCCGUCCCUGGGCGAGGCCUCAAUGGCAGUGCGGUAGCCAGGUGUGACUAGCUGCCCCUUGGCGUCCACGGGCGUGCGUGGCCCCCGCCGCUCGCCAGACUGCCAGGCGCAAUCACGUGCUCAGUGAAAGGUCGCUGCUGCCGGUUCGGUAUGGUGUCUACCCCGCUCACGUCUGGCCCGAAGCUGCAGGGGGCAGCCCUGUAGGACUUGGUGGAGGUGGCGUCCAAUGGCGGGCGCUCUCAGGACUACUUGAGGGCUGCUCUGUGGAGGAAUCCACCAGCACGUGGUGGAGAUACCACGCAGCUGCCCGUCCCUGUUUCCCGGAGCCCCGUGACAUUGACAUCCCGAGCAGGCGGCCUCACGGAGGCUGAGGCAGGAGACCUGGAGACCACUGUAUCUGUACGGUUUAAUGGGUACACCUGCUUGUUAACGCAAAAACAGCCUGCUCUUCCAAACAGGGUCCAGAGGUUCAGAAUCACAUGGCUGCAACUGAAUACAUGCAAAACAGACACAGGGUCAAGAGUGUGGUCGUCGGUGCCAGACACGGUAGUUCCAGUAUCUCAGACAUGACCGACCUCCCUGGCAUUUUCACACGUCGCUGUGUUGAGAGUUUACAGGGGAUGGUGCGAUAAACAUAAAAACACCCAGUCAGCAGCAGUUCUGUGGGUGAAACUGCCUCGUUAAUGAAGGAGGUCAGAGAAGAAUGGCCAGACUCGUUAAAGCGAACAGGAAGGCCACAAGUGCAAAAAUACACCAGCUUGGUACCACAGCGGUGAGGAGAACGGCUUCUGUGAACAUGCAGUUUGUCUCUUUUAAAGUGAUUCUGGAUGCAAAAUGGGUACCUGCUAGGUACCAAAUAAAGUGUGUUCUACCCAAUACUAUCUAGGUGUAACAAAUUGGGUCCCACCUGGUACAAGAGUCACCCUCCCCAUCAGUUGACAACUAUUACAAACUAUGUAAGCAUUUGUUGUUGACUUAAUGACCAAAAAAUGUGGAUCGUGUGGCUAAAUCAUAUUUAGCUAGAUAGUUGGAAGCUGGAUUUUCCUUUUACCUCCUCUUCUCAGGAAGGUUUAAGAAAUAUAAAAAAGAUGUAAAAAAAUAUAUAUAUUCUCAGAAUUGUAGCUGAGCUUUGAGGGAUGAUAAGGGCACCAGCCACAUCAGAGGCUAACAUCACACGCGGCUCAGCCCUGUCUGUAUUCAGCCCUGCCUGGUACUCGAGGGCUUUCAUGUUGUGGUAUUUUCUCCAUUAUGUGUUAUGAUUUAUGUUGAUAUUAUGCUAUCAGGUAUGUGAUUUGCAUUAUUGAAAGAUAAUUAGAAUAUCACAAUAGAGGCUUUACUGUUGGCUAAUUCUAUGUUAGGUGUAUUUUAUGAUCUUAAUACAUCUGGCACUGUAAUGUCACGCCUGCCUGGUGCCUUAGCCUGGAUUUAAUAUCUGAGAGGUGAUACCAUUGUAGUAGGGAGGUUCUGCAAGGGCUGAUCCCAGAUUAUAUACCUUUUGCUUAGAUGGCAAGUCAAUUAUAUAUGGGAAUUGCCCCUUAGCUGUAAAAAGGGCCUUUCUGUUCUUCUAAGGCGCAUUUAGCAUCAAAAAAGAGUACUUUUUAAACUGUAUAUGAGUGCAUGACUGGCGGGAUCUAGGUGUUUAUGAUCUCUGCAUCUUACUGUAACUGUCACCGCGAUGUUACUGUGUUCACCAAGAUUCAUGACCUUUCAGUCAUUUCACCGCUUGUCCUGCUGAAGGGU